AGAGAGAGACAUGCGCGCAUAUCAAUAAGCGGAGGAAAAGAAACUAACAAGGAUUCCCCUAGUAACGGCGAGUGAAGCGGGAAGAGCUCAAAUUUGAAAUCUUAAAGGGUUUCCCUUUACGAAUUGUAGUUUAAAGAAGUGUUUUCUGUUGAGGUUUUGGUAAAAGUUCUUUGGAAUAGGACAUCAUAGAGGGUGAGAAUCCCGUAUUUGACCUUUACUUUCAACUUUGUGAUACACUUUCAAAGAGUCGGAUUGUUUGGGAAUGCAGGUCCAAAAUGGGUGGUAAAUUUCAUCUAAAGCUAAAUAUUGGCGAGAGACCGAUAGCGAACAAGUACCGUGAGGGAAAGAUGAAAAGAACUUUGAAAAGAGAGUUAAACAGUACGUGAAAUUGUCAAAAGGGAAGCGUUUGACACCAGUGUUGUUUUUCUGAAAAUCAAUUAAAGAACUGUUUAUGCUAAGUUGUUUAGACUUUAGUCAGCUAACUGUUUAGUUUUGAGCUUUUCUUUAAUGCACUUUUCAGUUAACAAGUCAACAUCAAUUUCUUUUGCUGUAAAAAAGCUUGAGGAAGGUGGCUUGAGAUUCGUCUUAAGUGUUUAUAGCCUCUUGCCUAUGCAGUCGGAGAGAUUGAGGUCUGCAGCGUAGAUCCUUCGGGGCUAAAUGCAUUUGUGCUAAGUUAUAGCAUUUUAUAGACAACUUGUUGACUAUGAUUUGUCUUGUAGCUUACUCGCUUAUGUUAUUUUACCUACGCUUAGGAUGUUGAGCGCAUGUCUCUCUCU
rnacentral:rRNA from 1 species